rnacentral:rRNA from 1 species
UACGAAGGGGGCUAGCGUUGUUCGGAUUUACUGGGCGUAAAGCGCACGUAGGCGGAUCGUUAAGUGAGGGGUGAAAUCCCAGGGCUCAACCCUGGAACUGCCUUUCAUACUGGCGAUCUUGAGUCCGGAAGAGGUGAGUGGAAUUCCGAGUGUAGAGGUGAAAUUCGUAGAUAUUCGGAGGAACACCAGUGGCGAAGGCGGCUCACUGGUCCGGUACUGACGCUGAGGUGCGAAAGCGUGGGGAGCAAACAGG